GAUGAACGCUAGCGGCAGGCCUAAUACAUGCAAGUCGAACGAGAUUAAGAGGCUUGCUUCUUAUGAAAGUGGCGCACGGGUGCGUAACGCGUAUGCAACCUACCUUAAUCAGGGGGAUAGCCCGAAGAAAUUCGGAUUAAGACCGCAUAAAAACACAGGAUAGCAUUAUCCAAUGUUCAAAUAUUUAUAGGAUUAAGAUGGGCAUGCGUGUCAUUAGCUAGUUGGCGGGGUAACGGCCCACCAAGGCGACGAUGACUAGGGGAUCUGAGAGGAUGACCCCCCACACUGGUACUGAGACACGGACCAGACUCCUACGGGAGGCAGCAGUAAGGAAUAUUGGUCAAUGGAGGGAACUCUGAACCAGCCAUGCCACGUGCAGGAAGACAGCCCUCGGGGUCGUAAACUGCUUUUAUUCGGGAAUAAGCCUUUCUACGUGUAGGAAGCUGAAUGUACCGAAGGAAUAAGAAUCGGCUAACUCCGUG
rnacentral:rRNA from 1 species